rnacentral:misc_RNA from 1 species
CAACCCUCGAACCCCUCCGGGGGGUCGGCGUUGGGGAUCGGGAACCCCUAAGACGGGAUCCCGGCCCCGAAAUACAGUGGCGGUCUCGCCGCAGCCUCUCCUGCGCAGUAGUUUGCACAACUCGCACCGGGAGCGCGGCGCGUCCACGUCCGUAAAACACCCAACUUUCUGAAA